rnacentral:tRNA from 1 species
GGGCUCGUAGGGUAGCCAGGAUAUCCUAAUGGGCUUCGAAACAAUCGUGAAGAUACCCAUUGACUCGCGUUCGAAUCGCGGCGGGCCCGCC